rnacentral:rRNA from 1 species
UACAGAGGUCUCAAGCGUUGUUCGGAUUCAUUGGGCGUAAAGGGUGCGUAGGCGGCGCGGCAAGUCGGGUGUGAAAUUUCGAGGCUUAACUUCGAAACUGCAUUCGAUACUGCAGUGCUAGAGGACUGGAGAGGAGGCUGGAAUUUACGGUGUAGCGGUGAAAUGCGUAGAUAUCGUAAGGAAGACCAGUGGCGAAGGCGGGUCUCUGGACAGUUCCUGACGCUGAGGCACGAAGGCCAGGGGAGCAAACGGG